CCGCGGUAUUUUGACCGUGCUAAGGUAGCAUAAUCAUUAGUUUUUUAAUUGAAAGCUGGAAUGAAGGGUUGGAUGAAAAAAUAACUGUCUCUAUUAAAAUAUAAUAGAAUUUUAUUUUUAAGUUAAAAAGCUUAAAUAUUAUUAAAAGACGAGAAGACCCUAUAGAGUUUUAUAAUUAAUAAUAUUAUUUUUUUAGAAUUUAUUUUUUAAUAGAAAUUAAUUAUUUGAUUGGGGUGAUUAAAAAAUUUAAUAAACUUUUUUUUUAUUUUUACAUUAAUUUAUGAAUUAUUGAUCCAAUAUUUUUGAUUAAAAGAUAAAAUUACCUUAGGGAUAACAGCGUAAUUUUAUUAGAGAGUU
rnacentral:rRNA from 1 species